CCUACGGUGUGCAGCAGUGGGGAAUAUUGCGCAAUGGGCGAAAGCCUGACGCCGCGACGCCGCGUGAGGGAUGAAGGUCUUCGGAUCGUAAACCUCUGUCAGCAGGGAAGAACGGUCAAUGUGCUAAUCAGCAGUGAAUUGACGGUACCUGCAAAGGAAGCACCGGCUAACUCCGUACAAGCAGCCGCGGUAAUAAGGAGGGUGCGAGCGUUAAUCGGAAUUACUGGGCGUAAAGCGAUCGUCGGCGGUAGGUCAAGUCAAGGGUGAAAUCCCCGCGCUCAAAAUGGGAACUGCCUUUGAAACUGGCAAACUGGAGUGUGUGAGAGGAUAGUGGAAUUCCAGGUGUCGGAGUGAAAUCCGUAGAUAUCUGGAGGAACAUCAGUGGCGAAGGCGACUAUCUGGCACAUAACUGACGCUGAGGAGCGAAAGCGUGGGUAGCAAACAGGAUUAGAUACCCGAGUAGUC
rnacentral:rRNA from 1 species